rnacentral:rRNA from 1 species
UACGUAGGUGGCAAGCGUUGUCCGGAUUUACUGGGCGUAAAGAGCGCGCAGGCGGUCGUUCAAGUCGCGUGUGAAAGCCCCCCGGCUCAACUGGGGAGGGUCACGCGAUACUGAUCGACUCGAAGGCAGGAGAGGGUAGUGGAAUUCCCGGUGUAGUGGUGAAAUGCGUAGAUAUCGGGAGGAACACCAGUGGCGAAGGCGACUACCUGGCCUGUUCUUGACGCUGAGGCGCGAAAGCGUGGGGAGCAAACGGG